GUGCCAUCUGAUGAGUGGGGCUGAUAUGUGUGGGUUCCCCAUUCUAAAAAGUGUCAGAUUGAUUUUUACGCGAGGCGAAGUUCUCAGAGAAAAUCGCUGGAAAAGUCCCAAAUUGAGUGAGGAAAAGUGUCUGUAGAUUGUGCAAAAAGUGACCUGAGGGUGUUGCAAAAGCGUGGGUGUAUGUGGUAAAAGUUGCUCCUGUGCAGAGACGUCAGCAUCCACAAAAAUCAAUUUGAUAACAUUGAUUUUUUUUGCAAAAGAAGUGUCUCCAUUUCGCACACACUUGGAGCCCACUUUUCACCCUCUAUCACACCAUUUCGGGUGGUACUGUGCAGUGAAACGGGAAGAUAAUGUGAUGGGGAUGGUGCUGAUGGUCGUGGAAAUAUCGGAUGAGGUUUCUGGCUAGGAGCCAAGCUAUCGUUGGAGACUGAAGCCACUUCAUUGAGCCAGCUUUUGGGAAAAGAACACAACUCUCGGAGGAGGUGGUGAAAGAUUGAAAGGGAGAAAUUUUUUACCGUCCAACCGAAGAGUGUAGGAGAAUUACUGUAGAGUUUACAUCUUUAAUAAUAUUUCACAUUUUCUUGGUGGAGCCGAGAGAGAGAGAGAGGAAGAGAAACAUUGUGGAUAGUGUUCAAAAAUAAAACUCGAAGACAUUUGAGAAUAAAAAAAAAUCGUCAAAAUUGCGGCCAUGGGUAGGAAAAAAAUUCAAAUUUCCCGAAUCACCGAUGAACGAAACAGACAAGUGACAUUCAACAAGCGCAAAUUUGGCGUAAUGAAGAAAGCAUAUGAAUUGUCAGUGCUGUGUGACUGUGAAAUUGCUCUCAUCAUCUUCUCCAGCAGCAAUAAAUUGUACCAAUAUGCCAGUACGGAUAUGGACAAGGUUCUCCUCAAGUACACCGAGUACAAUGAGCCACACGAGUCUCUGACGAAUAAAAAUAUUAUCGAGGCACUUACCAAGAAGGAGAAUAAGAACGGAGUGAUGUCGCCGGAAACGGAGGAGCCGGAAGCUGAGUACAGUCUGACACCACGCACUGAAGCCAAAUACAACAAGAUCGAUGAGGAUUUCCAGUUAAUGGUCCAAAGAAAUCAGCAACUUGCUGCAGGAGCACGAGUCAAUAUGUCAGGCAGCAAUUAUGCCUUACCUGUCUCAGUACCCGUGGCAGCUGGAGCGUAUAGCGGUGAGGCGGGAAUGCUGCAAGCAAGUCCACAGAUGGCACACACUAACAUUAGUCCGAGACCAUCGAGUUCUGAAACGGAUUCUGUGUAUCCCUCAGGAUCGAUGCUAGAGAUGUCAAAUGGAUACCCACACUCCACAUCACCACUGGGUGGUUCCCCUAGUCCGGGCCCCAGUCCAGGAUUAGGUGGGCAUCAUAUUAAUAAACCUUCCCACCAUUUGUCUCAUAAGCAACAUUCACCAGGACCAAAUAGAUCCAACUCAAAUUUGCGCGUUGUGAUUCCCUCACCGCUCACGCCCAAUCACAUGUCGGCCCCGGAUGACGUGAGUUAUGCCGAAAAUGCGCCAUAUCUUGUUCUUCUAUCACAGCACAACCGACAGCCCUCCUCGACGCUCAAUACACCCGUCGUGGCACUCCAGACACCCAUACCCGGACUCUCGGGCUACCCCACGCUGAGUUCUUUCGGCGCCCAAGACUUCUCGAUGACGUCCUCAGAUGUUGGCAUGUCACUAUCCACGUGGAAUACCAGUCACCAGAAUCUGGGAACGGUUCAGCAUACGAGAGCAUUUCACAAGAAUCUCAAUGGAAAUGUCUUCUCUUGCAGUGGACUUCCCCAUCUAGCCAUAUCUAACAGCACCCCGCCGCCCUCAACAUCACCCUUGUCAAUUAAGGUGAAAUCCGAACCUGUAUCACCGCCACGGGAGCAUCAUCCGCAUGGUGGAAGUGGACUUGUUGGGGGACAGAAUACCAUCUCUGUGACGACAAUGAGUGGAGCAUCGGCGGCCGCUGUGACGUCUGUGACGUCCAAUUUAGCGGCCCUUGGACACCAGCAGCAACAUCUCAUCCUCACGUCGCGACCCAACUCAACGGGCCAUCUCACGCCGACGCCAGGAACAGUAACACCAACAAAUGCCCCCUCCCCAGUGUCUGACCUCCGUCACAGUGCGGGCGGCAGUGGGAGUGGAAUGUCGUCACAUCUGCCAGACUACGAUGCACCCACAAAUGCCCACAAGCGCCCCCGAAUAUCGGAGGGCUGGACAACAUAGCCGGCGGAUGUGGACAAUUGCAUGAACUACUACAUCACCGGAGGAAGGCACGAAGGAAAUUUUCCGAAUUGCGGAAAUAGCGUCAUUGUUCUAAAAUUAUGAAGCUCUUAAUACUCCGAGCCGUUAAAGUACAUUUUUUAAACUAUAAAACAAUUUCUAAUAUUUGUGUAAAUAUCGAGUGAAAGACACUUUGCCCCCGUGUAAAAUCAUUCAAAAUGAUUUUAACAAGAAAACAAAAAGAGGAAGUUUUCUUUCCAUUCUCGUGCAAUGUACUUAUUUUGAAGUUUUUUUUUGUAAUAUUUUGCAAUUUUUUUUUAUACUUUUCUCCAAAUGUGAAGAAAUUAACCAAAAUAUUUUGCACGCAGAAUAGUUUUUUUUUUUAUUUAGAUGAAAAAUGCAUGAAAGAUUGUAAAGAGUGUUUUAACACUAAAAAAAAAAAGAGUCGAAAAAAUACU